AACGAACGCUGGCGGCAGGCCUAACACAUGCAAGUCGAACGCCGUAGCAAUACGGAGUGGCAGACGGGUGAGUAACACGUGGGAACGUACCCUUCGGUUCGGAAUAACUCAGGGAAACUUGAGCUAAUACCGGAUACGUCCGAGAGGAGAAAGAUUUAUCGCCGAGGGAUCGGCCCGCGUCUGAUUAGCUUGUUGGUGAGGUAACGGCUCACCAAGGCGACGAUCAGUAGCUGGCUGAGAGGAUGAUCAGCCACAUUGGGACUGAGACACGGCCCAAACUCCUACGGGAGGCAGCAGUGGGGAAUAUUGGACAAUGGGCGCAAGCCUGAUCCAGCCAUGCCGCGUGAGUGAUGAAGGCCCUAGGGUUGUAAAGCUCUUUUACCCGGGAAGAUAAUGACUGUACCGGGAGAAUAAGCCCCGCUAACUUCGUGCC
rnacentral:rRNA from 1 species